AAAGUGAGAUGAAGCCAAAGAUGACUUGCCGAAUUGCUACAAAACUAUAGUUAGUUAAUUUUAUUUAUCAUAUUGGCGGGUUAUCUUUUGGCUAUAUUUGAUUUUCU
rnacentral:pre_miRNA from 1 species